GGCAAGCCAGCAGGACUGUUAUUGCACCGAAAAGAAAGCUUGUCCUGGCCCAAGAGGGUCAGGAAACCUCUGAACCACCUCCUAUGAUAGGGAUUGGGGCCUGGAACCAAUCCUCUGAACGAGGAAUUCCCAGUAGGUGCAGGUCAUCAGCCUGCAUCGAUCACGUCCCUGCC
rnacentral:ncRNA from 1 species